GACGUAGGGCGCGAGCGUUGUCCGGAUUUAUUGGGCGUAAAGAGCUCGUAGGCGGCUCGUUGCGUCAACCGUGAAAACCCGGGGCUUAACUUCGGGCUUGCGGUUGAUACGGGCGGGCUGGAGUUCGGUAGGGGAGACUGGAAUUCCUGGUGUAGCGGUGAAAUGCGCAGAUAUCAGGAGGAACACCGGUGGCGAAGGCGGAUCUCUGGGCCAUUACUGACGCUGAGGAGCGAAAGCGUGGGGAGCGAACAGG
rnacentral:rRNA from 1 species